GUGAUCGGCUAGGUCUGCGAUGGAUCGGCACACUGUCCAGCUUAUGACCGCUGAGUUACAAGCAGUAAAUGAUUGAACUCGAUGACUUUUGAAAUUGAUGUAGGAUUCCUCCAUUGGCAGCAAAAACACAAGCGCGUUGCCCUUGUUCCCGAUACGAGCAGUUCGCCCACAACGAUGGACAAAUGAACUAAGGAAAGCACUUUAUAAUAGUGAGUAAGAGUCAAGAGGAAAGGUAAUGAAAGUGAAGAGGAGGAAAGAUUAAAGAAGGACUGAAGAGGAGUGUCAAGCAUGAAUAAAAGGAGAAAUAGGAAUAAAGAAAGAGAAAACCGAAGCUCCCGGAGGAAACCCACGCAGACACAGGGAGAACAUUCAAACUCCACACAGAAAGGACACGGACCGGCCGGCCUGGGGAUUGAACCCAGGACCUUCUUGACCUUCUUACUGUGAGGCGACAGUGCUACCUACUAAGCCACCGUGCCACCAUGAUUAAGAUUAGGACCGUCUUAAUAUUUAAAGUAA